rnacentral:lncRNA from 1 species
GUGUGGACGCAGACAUCACCCACGCAGCAUCCCCCCCCCACGCAGCAUCACCCUCACGCAGCAUCGCCCCCACGCAGCAUCGCCCACGCAGCAUCACCCUCACGCAGCAUCGCCCCCACGCAGCAUCGCCCUCACGCAGCAUCGCCCACGCAGCAUCACCCUCACGCAGCAUCACCCUCACGCAGCAUCGCCCCCACGCAGCAUCACCCACGCAGCAUCACCCUCACGCAGCAUCCCCCCCCCCACACAGCAUCGCCCUCACGCAGCAUCGCCCACGCAGCAUCACCCUCACGCAGCAUCGCCCCCACACAGCAUCACCCUCACGCAGCAUCACCCUCACGCAGCAUCGCCCCCACGCAGCAUCACCCACGCAGCAUCACCCUCAUGCAGCACCCCCCCCCACGCAGCAUCACCCACGCAGCAUCGCCUACGCAGCAUCGCCCACGCAGCAUCGCCCCCACGCAGCAUCACCCACGCAGCAUCGCCCACGCAGCACCGCCCCCACGCAGCAUCACCCACACAGCAUCGCCCACGCAGCAUCGCCCACGCAGCAUCCCCCCCCACGCAGCAUCACCCACGCAGCAUCGCCUACGCAGCAUCGCCCACGCAGCAUCGCCCACGCAGCAUCACCCUCACGCAGCAUCGCCCACGCAGCAUCACCCACGCAGCAUCACCCUCACGCAGCAUCACCCACGCAGCAUCACCCACGCAGCAUCACCCUCACGCAGCAUCGCCCUCACGCAGCAUCACCCACGCAGCAUCACCCACGCAGCAUCACCCACGCAGCAUCACCCACGCAGCAUCACCCUCACGCAGCAUCGCCCACGCAGCAUCACCCUCACGCAGCAUCGCCCACGCAGCAUCACCCUCACGCAGCAUCACCCACGCAGCAUCGCCCUCACGCAGCAUCACCCACGCAGCAUCGCCCUCACGCAGCAUCGCCCACGCAGCAUCGCCCUCACGCAGCAUCGCCCACGCAGCAUCACCCUCACGCAGCAUCGCCCACGCAGCAUCACCCUCACGCAGCAUCGCCCACGCAGCAUCACCCUCACGCAGCAUCGCCCACGCAGCAUCGCCCUCACGCAGCAUCACCCACGCAGUAUCACCUCACGCAGCAUCACCCACGCAGCAUCGCCCCCACGCAGCAUCACCCUCACGCAGCAUCACCCACGCAGCAUCACCCACGCAGCAUCACCCCCACGCAGCAUCGCCCUCACGCAGCAUCACCCACGCAGCAUCACCCACGCAGCAUCACCCUCACGCAGCAUCACCCACGCAGCAUCGCCCCCACGCAGCAUCGCCCUCACGCAGCAUCACCCACGCAGCAUCACCCACGCAGCAUCACCCUCACGCAGCAUCACCCACGCAGCAUCACCCACGCAGCAUCACCCACGCAGCAUCACCCACGCAGCAUCACCCCCACAUUAAGCACAUCUGGAAAUUUGGAAUAAACACUGUCGCCUCUUA